UCUGGUGCCAGCAGCCGCGGUAAUUCCAGCUCCAAUAGCGUAUAUUAAAGUUGUUGCAGUUAAAAAGCUCGUAGUUGAAUUUCGGGAUCAAUCUAUCGGUCGUGCAAUAGUACGUACUGAUUUUAUUGAUUCCUCCCUUCUGAUGAACUAUGAUGUCAUUAAUUUGGUGUCAUAGGGAAUCAGGACUGUUACUUUGAAAAAA
rnacentral:rRNA from 1 species